UACUAUGUAAAGUUGGCAACAAAAUAUCUGCACAUAAUCAAGAAAUGGUCCAGGGUGUGGAGAAAGGUCCCAUGUAACACCUAUAUAGAUCUAGGCAUUAGAGCCUGAGGCAUCCCACUUACUUAUAAGUUAACAACAUUUUCAGUCAUGAUGGUGAAUGUGAUAGGACUAUGUGUCUUUUGCUUACAACUGGUCAGUGCUAUGGACACAUGUGAUCCAAAUAUACCGUCUAGACCCAUGCCAUCACCGCAACCGAAAAUGGCUCGUCUAAUGUCCACCGCAGAGGUCCACUGUGGCCCUGGCCAAUUCCGAAACGAGUCCACAGGAAGCUGUCAAUCAUGUCCGGCCAAGCACUUUAUGACUCUACUGAUGAGUUCUGAAAACUACCAGAGUUGCGAGACAUGUUUAGAGCCAGGCGACGGUGAAAUUGAGGUACGACCUUGUAAUGCCACCAGAGACACUGAGAUUCUCUGCAAGACUGGUCUAUAUCGAUAUGAGGUGCCCAAUGACAGAUGCCACUGGACAUGUCAGCGCUGCGAUGUGUGUGGUUGGGCUAAACAGCUCGACCGCAAUUACGUAGCUCGAAGCUGUGGUAACUACACGAACACUGUAUGCUGCCCUGAUGAGGACAUGAUCGCACGGGAAGGAGAAUGCGUCGGAAAGGUGACAAGCACUGCACUGCCCAACACGUCUUCGCCCAAAGACAUCAUUCACCAGAAUACUCAAGGAAGCAGCUCGUAUAACUUACUGAUUUCCAAAAUAUACUUCAUUAUGUUGUUUUGUUUCACUUUUGUACUUUAUAUAAAAUAAACUUUUCCAUUGACAAGAGUACUAUCCCUUUAGCUGGACCUCACACUCCUGAGAAAUGUUUUUUUUUUAUGUUUAAACUUUUCUAAUGUCACAGUCCUUAACAUACCUGACUGUUGCCCAUUCAUGUACUAUAUUAAAGUGAUUAUUGAAAGGAACUCUGAUGAUUCCAAUAGGCUGAAAAGUAGUAGUAGAUCAAUAUUUAAAUCAACAUCUUAUGAUUGUUUAGCACAUUCUGACAUACUGACUAGUCUGUAGUUGAUUAAUUUAGUCUUCCCUCUGUACAUGUUUCAAUAGCUAAUUCUGUCAUACUCAGAGUUUGUACUUUGUCUUUUUGACACUAAUUUGAUAUUAGAGAUGUAGAAUAAUCAAUUUCAUUUGAUUUUGUUUUUCUUUGAUGCAAAACUAAAAAUUGUAAAAAAUUUUGUUGUAAGUUUUUUUUUAAUUGGCAACAUCAGACAUUUUUUGUUCACCUGACCAUCUCACAUUGCAUCUUGUAUAGCCAUUUGAAUCAGAAGAAACACAGAGGCAGCAAUCAUUUCUUGUCACACGGAGAGAACAAGUCCUAUGCAAAUGUUAAAAUAUCAAUUCUUACUUUAUGUUUAGAUAACAUUGUCAAAUAAACACAUAUCAACAUACAUCAACACAACAACAUUGUAAAAUAAACACAUAACAUACACAUACUUAAAGUUAAAAAGGAAUAUAUCAGAUGUUUGGUUUAGUACCGUGUUUUUUUAAUUUAGAACUCGAGCCGUAAAUACAUUUUUUAAAAGCUUAUGCCAACUCACUCUGUCUUGUAUAUUUUGCUUGUUUGUAAUUCAAUAAGCAAUGAACAAGAGUUUUAUAAUUAAAAUCUUAAUUGUUUUUGACACUGUUUAUUAAGUUUACACCCUUCCUUUAGACUAUUUACAAUUAAAUUCUUCCGCGCCAUUCGGCUCAUUGGGCGGCAAGCGGUCUCUACAAAAAUCUGCCACUGGUAAUGUCUGAAGCCUCUUACCACAUGCUGUCCACUGCUCUGGAGGUCCUCCAUGAAGGUGUGACGCCAAGUUAUACGAAGUUAUCCUUGUUUGCGCUUUCCUCGUAUCGGCCUCCAUGUCAUCGCAACUCUUGAUAUGCAUAAUUCAUUUUGUCGGAGAACAUGUCCCGCAAACCUCACUCGACGCUCUGUCACAACCUUAUUAAGUGGUAGACUCCCAGUUUAGCAUAGGACCUCCUAGUCUGAAACCCGAUCUCUAUUAUUGACUCCUUAAGUCUGUCAUAGCCAUUUUUUGUUGAGCCAAACUUUCUCUUUCUCAAAUUUGGCAGAAGUCUCGCAUGUAUAAGUAGCUGUUGGGAUGGAGAAUGUAUUGAGUAAGUGUAUUAAUGUAUUGAGUAAGUGUAUUAUUGUCUUAAGUUCAUUAGCUUGUCCAAAUAGAAUGCAGCCUUUGUAAAAAGCUCCCUGUGUUUCCUAUUGUGCGCGCUGCGUCACGAUACAAUCCCCAGAGUUUGUAAUGAUGCUGCCAAGUUGUGAACUUGUUGGUUGGACGUUCCUUCAGACCUGAAGAUUAUUCAUUCUUGCCCAAAACUCCAACACGUCGUCAGGGAACGAAGGCGUUCAGGGUUCCAAACCGGGACCAUCGUAGUGAUAACCCGAAGCGCACACCACAUGACCCAGUGGCGUAGAUAGAAAUUUGGGGGCACUGGGGGGGGCGUGACCUCUUUUGGGGCCCCUGCAUUUUGACAAAUAUCGAACUCUCAUUUGGGGGAGAACUCAAAUGGGGGCCCAGUGGGGAUUUUCGAAAUGUACCCUCUGUCCCCUCUAGCUACGCCACUGACAUGACCAUGUGAUUAUAUAUGCUUAGGUAAUCAUGUCACGACUGUUAUUGCAUUACGUGAAAACUGCUUAACUUUAAAAACCACGUGAUUAUUUCUAGUUCACUUUCUUUAUUGUAAAAUAAUAGAAUAAAUGAUACAUUUGUUACUGCAGAAUUCAUGAAAUGUUGUGCCCUGAAAUUAUUUCUAACCAAUUUUUUUUUUGUAACAUAAAUUAGAAAAUUAUUUUCUUUUCUUUGGCAUGUAGGCUAUUACACCAUGAAAACAAUUUCAAAGCAUUGUAUUUGUUAGAAGUAUUAUUGCACAAUCUUUUUUUUUGUAUUUGCAAUAGAACUAUAGUAUAGAACUAUUCAUUGUAUUUGAAUAGAUAUAGGACUAUUUGAGACACCUCGAAUUCCCCUAGCAUGCAGCCUAGAGGAUUUUUUAAAAAUGUUAAAAACUGUAACUUUUGUUGUCUAGUCUUUUUAAACAUUGCGUAGUGUUUACGUCCAUUGAUACAGGUGCUUUCAUAAACAUAAUUUGUGACAAAAAACAUCUGAGAGUAAUGUUAAGUGUAAAAGACAUGAUCGUUCUUGUUGUCUUAGUGUUAGCCAGAUAGUGCAAAACAUUGUUAGCUUUAUAGCAACAGGCUAUACGGUUGAAAGUAUCAAAGACAAGUGACUAUAUCAGACAUGCGUAAUUAAAACUGGAGCCUACCAUGAUGUUAACAGAACAUAACAUUUUCUAUGCAAAUGUGGAACAAAAAUAUGUAAUUUGAAAAUUAGUUUUCAACCAUGUCCAUGUUCCAGGGGAACUUUACUUUACUAUGUCUCCAUAAUAUAUCAUUUUCUUAUUUAUGUUGUCGUUUAGUUUGUCUGCCCUUAGAAUGUCCACAGUUUAAUUAGUUCAGAGUUUGAAUGUCUCACGGUUAAAAGGCCCACCUAUUUUAAUAAUCCACAAUUUAAAUAUCCCUUUUUGAAUGGACUACUUUGAAUUGUCCCCAACUGAAAUGUUCUUCAAAUGUCUUUUAUUUUUACCUUUUUUUUUAACGUUUGUCUAAUAGAUGUCGAUGUAUCUCGUUUGUAUCUGCCCAAGUGAGAUAUCUAAUAGAUGUCGGUGUAUCUCGUUUGUAUCUGCCCAAGUGAGUUAUCUAAUAGAUGUCGGUGUAUCUCGUUUGUACAAUAGGGUACUCGAUAUGUCAGGUCUUUCCCUUUUUUUAUUUUUGAAAAAACAAAACAAAUUGAAAUACCAUUUAAACAAAAGAAUGUCAGAGAAAAGAGGAACAAAGAUAGUACUACUCUAUACUGACAAAAAUCGAAAGGCAGGGCCCCCAAAUUCAGACCAGGCAUCCUAUGGCUUGAUGAUGCAGAGGCAGAUGUACCGAUAAGAGUUCGGGCUUGGAGACGAAAAGCACUUGUUAGAUCUGAAUGGAAAGAUGUGUUGCAGCAGGCCAGAGCCCUCCAUGGGCUAUAGUGAUACUGGGAUAGAUAUUUGAAAAGAAGAGCGUUUUUUAUUUUACAAAGCUGCGCAUCGAAUAGACCUAAGAUUUUGUUAUUUCAAUAAGUUGUAUGUGGAUUUUUACAAAUCUAAAAACUCACUGUAUCUGGUAAAAAGUAGAAGUUAUUUGUACCACACAUAUUCUCUGAUCAAGUUGAAACUUUACACAAUUAUUCAUUGACAUAGACAAGACAUGAACAAUAAAAAAAAAAAAUAACCAAUUAAUUGUUUGUUUGAUAUUGAAUAAGGGAAACAAUUUCUACAUUUUUAGAGCUGUAGUUGUAAGUGCGCAGAUCUUUCCCUUAGAUAAGCUUUUUUUUUUUUUAGAAAAUGAUUUUUGAAACUUUUGGCUUGUUUCGAAUGUCUGUCGGACUUACUUAUCUCAUUUAGUUGUAUGCCAAUAGUUUUAAUGGCAAUAGAAAUCUGUUUGUUGUCUGUUGAUCUUUUUAAUGUUUUUUUUUUGUAUACUUCAAAAUAUUUAUUGAGCAUCGGUUGGUCAGGGUAUCAAAUAUAUAUAUAAAUAGAUGUGCUAUUAAAUUCAUAUUGUUAAUGUAUUUCGUACAGCAUAUUAAUGAGACAUAAUUCAAAGCCCGAGUCUCUUUUUUUUUAAAAUACUGUGACCAGUCUUAGCAUUGAGAUGUGAGUUUCUUUUGUUUUUAAACAUUGUAACUUCUCUUAGCAUAGAGUUGUGAGUCUUUUUUUUUUUUUCUAAACAUUGUGACCAGUCAAAGCAUUGAGUUUCAAAUGUGAUGAAAUAAUGUAUAAUACAAAUAUCUUGCAGCUUUAAAAUACUGCUGAACUUGCAGAAUACAGAAAUUUAAUAA